GAUCAUGGCUCAGGAUGAACGCUAGCUACAGGCUUAACACAUGCAAGUCGAGGGGCAGCAUUUUAGUUUGCUUGCAAACUGAAGAUGGCGACCGGCGCACGGGUGAGUAACCCGUAUCCAACCUGCCGAUAACUCCGGGAUAGCCUUUCGAAAAGAAAGAUUAAUACCGGAUAGCAUACGAAUAUCGCAUGAUAUUUUUAUUAAAGAAUUUCGGUUAUCGAUGGGGAUGCGUUCCAUUAGUUUGG
rnacentral:rRNA from 1 species